UUCAUCCAAACAUCCAUGGUCUCCGCGGCCUUCUCCAUCACCAUGCGCUACCAAGACCUGCGUGCCAAUGCUCGGCUCAAUUCAGCGACAAUGGGGCUUCAACGCCGCCGCCGACCAACCUCCACAACAAUGCUGAAUGGCCGCUGUCCCGCAGAGUUGGCGCUGGGUGAGGGGGGAGCAAGCCGCGUUGAUGANNNNNCGAUCUUGGCCUCUGAACUGAGAAGGCGUGUACUGGCAUUCGGAUCUAUUGCAACAACCGA
rnacentral:misc_RNA from 1 species